UCGAACGGUAGCACACAAGAGCUUGCUCUCGGGUGACGAGUGGCGGACGGGUGAGUAAUGUCUGGGAAACUGCCUGAUGGAGGGGGAUAACUACUGGAAACGGUAGCUAAUACCGCAUAACGUCGCAAGACCAAAGAGGGGGACCUUCGGGCCUCUUGCCAUCAGAUGUGCCCAGAUGGGAUUAGCUAGUAGGUGGGGUAACGGCUCACCUAGGCGACGAUCCCUAGCUGGUCUGAGAGGAUGACCAGCCACACUGGAACUGAGACACGGUCCAGACUCCUACGGGAGGCAGCAGUGGGGAAUAUUGCACAAUGGGCGCAAGCCUGAUGCAGCCAUGCCGCGUGUAUGAAGAAGGCCUUCGGGUUGUAAAGUACUUUCAGCGGGGAGGAAGGGAGUAAGGUUAAUAACCUUAUUCAUUGACGUUACCCGCAGAAGAAGCACCGGCUAACUCCGUGCCAGCAGCCGCGGUAAUACGGAGGGUGCAAGCGUUAAUCGGAAUUACUGGGCGUAAAGCGCACGCAGGCGGUCUGUCAAGUCGGAUGUGAAAUCCCCGGGCUCAACCUGGGAACUGCAUUCGAAACUGGCAGGCUGGAGUCUUGUAGAGGGGGGUAGAAUUCCAGGUGUAGCGGUGAAAUGCGUAGAGAUCUGGAGGAAUACCGGUGGCGAAGGCGGCCCCCUGGACAAAGACUGACGCUCAGGUGCGAAAGCGUGGGGGAGCAAA
rnacentral:rRNA from 1 species